rnacentral:lncRNA from 1 species
GGAUGGUCAUGCAUGCUGCACAUCACCAUGCUUCUGGCAUGACUUCAGCAAAACUGGUCAGAGCUCCUUCCAGAGCUAAAACAACACAAGAUCAAGCUCUGGAUGGGAGUACAUGUUUUCACAGAAGACCAAGAGUACAGUGCAAAAGAAAAGACAUCAGUGCCUAGGGUAUGGAAUUAGGAGGUAAUGGAAGGUGGGUGAGAGAAUUCAUAUUCUUCUGAAUCAG